rnacentral:misc_RNA from 1 species
AGAAAAGAGCCUCAGUGAAUGAUUUACCCGCUUCGGCCAAUUUUUCAGUAAGUGUGCACACCCUCCAAUCUUUCCUGUCAUGUGGAGCAGUUGCAUUCCAUGCUUUAGCGGAAGGACUUGCAUUAGGAGUGGCUGCACCGAAAGCAUAUGGAUUCGGUCGUCACAUAGUUCUCCCUGUUUCUCUUCACGGCCUCCCUCGGGGUGCAGCAGUAGCUAGUUGUAUAUUU